GACGAACGCUGGCGGCGUGCUUAACACAUGCAAGUCGAACGGAAAGGCCCUGCUUUUGUGGGGUGCUCGAGUGGCGAACGGGUGAGUAACACGUGAGUAACCUGCCCUUGACUUUGGGAUAACUUCAGGAAACUGGGGCUAAUACCGGAUAGGAGCUCCUGCUGCAUGGUGGGGGUUGGAAAGUUUCGGCGGUUGGGGAUGGACUCGCGGCUUAUCAGCUUGUUGGUGGGGUAGUGGCUUACCAAGGCUUUGACGGGUAGCCGGCCUGAGAGGGUGACCGGCCACAUUGGGACUGAGAGACGGCCCAGACUCCUACGGGAGGCAGCAGUGGGGAAUAUUGCACAAUGGGCGGAAGCCUGAUGCAGCAACGCCGCGUGCGGGAUGACGGCCUUCGGGGUGUAAACCGCUUCCGCCUGUGACGAAGCGUGAGUGACGGUAAUGGGUAAAGAAGCACCGGCUAACUACGUG
rnacentral:rRNA from 1 species